ACGGGUGAGUAACACGUGAGUAACCUGCCCCUGACUCCGGGAUAAGCGUUGGAAACGACGUCUAAUACUGGAUAUGAUCACCGGCCGCAUGGUCUGGUGGUGGAAAGAUUUUUUGGUUGGGGAUGGACUCGCGGCCUAUCAGCUUGUUGGUGAGGUAAUGGCUCACCAAGGCGACGACGGGUAGCCGGCCUGAGAGGGUGACCGGCCACACUGGGACUGAGACACGGCCCAGACUCCUACGGGAGGCAGCAGUGGGGAAUAUUGCACAAUGGGCGAAAGCCUGAUGCAGCAACGCCGCGUGAGGGAUGACGGCCUUCGGGUUGUAAACCUCUUUUAGUAGGGAAGAAGCGAAAGUGACGGUACCUGCAGAAAAAGCACCGGCUAACUACGUGCCAGCAGCCGCGGUAAUACGUAGGGUGCAAGCGUUGUCCGGAAUUAUUGGGCGUAAAGAGCUCGUAGGCGGUUUGUCGCGUCUGCUGUGAAAUCCCGAGGCUCAACCUCGGGCUUGCAGUGGGUACGGGCAGACUAGAGUGCGGUAGGGGAGAUUGGAAUUCCUGGUGUAGCGGUGGAAUGCGCAGAUAUCAGGAGGAACACCGAUGGCGAAGGCAGAUCUCUGGGCCGUUACUGACGCUGAGGAGCGAAAGCGUGGGGAGCGAACAGGAUUAGAUACCCUGGUAGU
rnacentral:rRNA from 1 species